CCGAGGGCACUGCCGCCUCGGUGCCGGGGCAUGCGGCGUAGGUGAUGCCAUGCCUUUCUUCAUCUUCUCGUCGUCGUUGCAGAGGAUGAGCUCAACCUCAUAAGCCUAGAGGUGAGCGGAGAUCUGGCCUACGCCUGCGCGAUCCCCACGGACAGCGGCAAAUGUUGUGGUUUGUGGAGACCCACAGCCGGGUGGCGUAGUGCACCCGCCUAAUCCCAGAGGGUGAGUACUCGGGGAAGCGCUAAGCGAUUCGGCAGGUCUACCUAGGGAGCAAGAACACAAGAACACUCGAGGAUUUACAGUGGUCCGGGCCGCUGGAGCGUAAUACCCUACAUCCACUCCCAAGGGGACGCGUACACAGGCGUUGAGACCCCGACAGGUGGGUCCAACGCGGAUGUAUAGUAUACUGCGCAGAAGGCAUUAAUGGUGCAACAGUGGUUGAGAAUCUCUCCC